AAGCUUCUUCACUAGUAAAACCAUACUCAAAUCCCCUUUCUUAAAAUACAAUUGAAGGAAAUUUCCUUCUCAGCUGUCAUCUCAUUCCUUCCCUUUAUCUUCUCAAAAAUUGUGUGAUGGCAUUCGCUCCCUGGUUCCUUAUUGUGUAUCUACUGGAGUUUAUCUCUAAAAUAGUCCUGGCACCUCCCAGUUGCUGAGUCCCUUGGCCACUGCUCUUCUGUAGUCUGGACUGUGGAUUUCCCCCUUGAGGAAACCCCCCUUUCCCCAGGAUCUCCUUUCUUCUUCUUUCUCCUGUCCUGGAAGGCAUGGCCUCCAGUCAGUUUAUCUUCCACUGAUCAUCUCAUUCACUUCAUCAUUUAAAUUCUGAGCCUGAUGUCCAGGAUUCCUAGAUCCACAGGUCUUGC
rnacentral:lncRNA from 1 species